rnacentral:lncRNA from 1 species
ACAGGAAGAACUGCAUCACAGAAUAUUUUGCAAGAACCUGAAUCAUCCCAUUUGGCUAAAAAGAGUUCUGGCUGCUGAGGUAGCAGGACUGAGACCGGGGCUGGACCCUGACUGAGACCCAGGAGCCAGCAGCCUCUAGCCACUCCAGUCACAGGCACAGCCCAGGGACCCACCGCCACGCCCUCCUGCAAGAUAAAGGAAGCAGCAACUCAGACAUCAGGGUGGACACACCCACCAAAACACAAGGAGAGGCCCUGAAAAGUAACUGGAAAGUCACAGACCGUUCUGGCAAGUGGAGUUGAUGAGAAACAGGCCCCAGAGACUCGGAUUGGAGCGAGAGAGUUCCAUGGGCUCAGCUGGGAAAUGAGGCACAAGGAGCCAGCCCCAGAACAGAGACCCCUCCAAAGCCAACAGCUCCAGAACCGCCUCUUGCCACAACAUUCAAUGCCCUGGCUUUGAUGUUUUGUGUCUCUUGCUGACUCACAAACUUGGGAGGUAACUGGCUUUCCCUAUCAAAAAUUACUAACCCUUGAGGGGCAAUUUCGCGAUAGCUGUCAACAUUUUCAAUGUUCAUAAUCUGGACACCAUUGAUUCUGCCUACUUUCAGGGGUUUUUCCUCAGAUAUGCCCAGACAUACACAGGAUUUCUGGAUCAUUGAUUAGGGAAAAAAUGAUGCCAUCUAAUUGUCUUUCAUCAAGAACCCACUAUUUGGCUGGGUGCAGUGGCUCACACCUGUAAUCCCAGCACUUUAAGA